UACAGAGGGGGCAAGCGUUAUUCGGAAUUAUUGGGCGUAAAGCGCACGUAGGCGGAUUGCUAAGUCAGGGGUGAAAUCCUGGAGCUCAACUCCAGAACUGCCCUUGAUACUGGCGGUCUCGAGUCCGGGAGAGGUGAGUGGAACUGCGAGUGUAGAGGUGAAAUUCGUAGAUAUUCGCAAGAACACCAGUGGCGAAGGCGGCGAUCUGGGUAGAUACUGACGCUGAGGUGCGAAAGCGUGGGGAGCAAACAGG
rnacentral:rRNA from 1 species